rnacentral:misc_RNA from 1 species
AGCCUCAACCUAGAGAGAGAGUGAGAGAGUGUAAGAGAGAGGUUCAAAGAUGGUGCAGAGACUCACUUACCGUAAGCGCCACAGCUAUGCCACCAAAUCCAACCAACACCGCGUCGUCAAAACUCCUGGUGGGAAGUUGAUUUAUCAGACUACCAAGAAGAGGGCUAAUGGUCCCAAGUGCCCUGUCACUGGAAAGAGGAUUCAGGGGAUUCCUCACCUGAGACCAGCUGAGUACAAGAGGUCCAGGUUGUCUAGGAACAGGAGGACUGUGAACCGUGCCUAUGGCGGAGUAUUGUCUGGAGGAGCAGUUAGGGAGAGGAUCGUCCGUGCUUUCUUGGUGGAAGAGCAAAAAAUUGUUAAGAAGGUUUUGAAGAUCCAAAAAGCCAAAGAAAAGUUGGCAGCUAAGAGUUAAGCAGAGAGUUUAGAGGAACUUUCUUUUUAUGUUUUGCUGAAAUUUUGACAUUCAAGUGUUUACUAGUUUUGUGCUACAAAUUGACCUUAUUGCUACAACAAUUUACGGCAGUUUUUUGCUUUAUUU